UACCCUUGUGGAUAAGGCUUUGGAUUGUCAAUCCAGAGACGACGGGUUCGAUUCCCGU
rnacentral:tRNA from 1 species